rnacentral:rRNA from 1 species
UACGGAGGGUGCAAGCGUUGCUCGGAAUUACUGGGCGUAAAGCGUACGCAGGCUGUUCGUUAAGUCGGGUGUGAAAUCCCGGGGCUCAACCCCGGAACGGCCUUUGAAACUAGAUAGCUAGAAUCUUGGAGAGGUCAGUGGAAUUCCGAGUGUAGAGGUGAAAUUCGUAGAUAUUCGGAAGAACACCAGUGGCGAAGGCGACUGACUGGACAAGUAUUGACGCUGAGGUGCGAAAGCGUGGGGAGCAAACAGG